AAAUAUUCAUAGGUAACGGUUGGGCAUGCGUCCUAUUAGAUAGUUGGGGGGGUAACGGCCCACCAAGUCGAUGAUAGGUAGGGGUUCUGAGAGGAAGGUCCCCCACACUGGUACUGAGACACGGACCAGACUCCUACGGGAGGCAGCAGUGAGGAAUAUUGGUCAAUGGGCGAGAGCCUGAACCAGCCAAGUCGCGUGAGGGAUGACUGCCCUAUGGGUUGUAAACCUCUUUUGUAUGGGGGGAAUAAGCUUUACGAGUAGAGUGAUGACAGUACCAUACGAAUAAGCAUCGGCUAACUCCGUGCCAGCAGCCGCGGUAAUACGGAGGAUGCGAGCGUUAUCCGGAUUUAUUGGGUUUAAAGGGUGCGUAGGCGGCAUUAUAAGUUAGUGGUAAAAUAUUGGGGCUUCACCUCACUACGCCAUUAAUACUGUAGAGCUAGAGAACAGACGAGGUAGGCGGAAUAAGUUAAGUAGCGGUGAAAUGCAUAGAUAUAACUUAGAACACCGAUAGCGAAGGCAGCUUACCAGACUGAGUCUGACGCUGAUGCACGAGAGCAUGGGUAGCGAACAGGAUUAGAUACCCUGGUAGUCCAUGCCGUAAACGAUGCUCACUGGCCUUAGGCGAUAUAUGGUCU
rnacentral:rRNA from 1 species